rnacentral:lncRNA from 1 species
UGGGUAACUUGCAGGUGAUCCUGAGUAGUUGGUGGUGGCUCAAGUGUCGUGUCUAGGGCUCUGAUACGUGGGAUGGGAAUUAUUAUUGUUUUUCUUUCCUAUGUAUCUUAUUUUGGAACUUGAUGUUGUGGCCCUAUGUUGGUUGAAUUAUGUUGUUAAGGCUUUAUGCCAAGAUAUUAUUUUGGAGGUUUAAACAGUUGUUGAUGUUUUGAUGAUAAUAUUCCGCUGCUAAUUAAAUGAUGAUUUCAUUGGAUGUUUAUUAAAUAGUUUUAUAUUCUAUUUAAGAAAAAUUUGAAAAUGUAGUGUGACAUGCCC